rnacentral:rRNA from 1 species
GAUGAGCGCUGGCGGCGUGCCUAAUACAUGCAAGUCGAGCGAACAGACGAGGAGCUUGCUCCUCUGACGUUAGCGGCGGACGGGUGAGUAACACGUGGAUAACCUACCUAUAAGACUGGGAUAACUUCGGGAAACCGGAGCUAAUACCGGAUAAUAUAUUGAACCGCAUGGUUCAAUAGUGAAAGACGGUUUUGCUGUCACUUAUAGAUGGAUCCGCGCCGCAUUAGCUAGUUGGUAAGGUAACGGCUUACCAAGGCGACGAUGCGUAGCCGACCUGAGAGGGUGAUCGGCCACACUGGAACUGAGACACGGUCCAGACUCCUACGGGAGGCAGCAGUAGGGAAUCUUCCGCAAUGGGCGAAAGCCUGACGGAGCAACGCCGCGUGAGUGAUGAGGGUCUUCGGAUCGUAAAACUCUGUUAUUAGGGAAGAACAAAUGUGUAAGUAACUAUGCACGUCUUGACGGUACCUAAUCAGAAAGCCACGGCUAACUACGUG